CCCCCCGUGGGAAACGAACCAACAACCCUGGCGUUGCAAGCGCCAUGCUCUACCAACUGAGCUACAGGGGACUUAAAUUAUUAUACAGCGUAAUGUAUCUGUUAAUACCAGUUGUUAGAUAAUAUUCUGUUCAAGUGACACUUUCAGUUUCACAUGUUGCUUUUCUCUAGCAGUAUUUAAUUUGUACUGAUCUAUGGUAGAAAUCCAUUACUUCUUUGUAAUGUGAUGUUGGAUAAACAUAACUCAGUUUUUACAUCCCUUCUGUCAACAUUACCACAACAUAGUGAGAGCCACUGUGGAAAAGAAACAUAGCGCCAUGUUGGAUAUUUUGGCACUCAGAGACAACAAGGUCAUAAACGCCAUGUGACAUAUCAGUCUUGGUCUAUUAGUCUCAUGUUGAUAUAGUAAAAUGGUUAUUUUGUUAGUUUCAAAAUGGCAUAUUUUCAAAAACAUCAGAACAAAUGGCGAUUCACUUUUCAUAGUGGGGAAAAUUGGUUUCCAUGACAGCCUAGUGAUUGAGUAACAAUACCCAUACUGUUUAUCAGUAACCAUGUCCUGACUCGCUAUGGGAAGUUCAUUCUCAACCAAUGUUGCUUGGCAAGCAAAUGACAAUAAUCCUCUAAGAACCAAUCAGCAAAGGCCUGUAAACUAAAACCCUAAGAGGCCAGUAUAGAAAAUAGAAUCCAUAGAAUGGGGAAGGCGCUCAGACCCAUUAACUUGAAUCGGAAUGUCCGUACUAGGGAUUCUAUUUCUAUGGUUACACAGGUGCCCAUGCAGGCUCAGCCCUACAGGAAGUCUCCUGGUCGUCAUGGAAACCAGGGGGACCUGCUUCCACAACAGUCCUGGAGGUUUUAAGGUUAAGGUCAGCCUGGUAAUAACUUCAGACGCUUUUCAGACUUCAUCAACAACCAACAACCUCAACAGGACGUUUGUUUUAAUCAGUCUCCCACUGGGCCGAACCAUGGGGUGCAACACCAGCAGGGAUGCUUUAGUGGUGAACCCUUCUAAAAAGCCAGAGACCAGACCAGCGUCGGCCAGCUCGACCAGUGAGGCCACUGCUGAGGAGGCUAAAGAAACUACAGAGAAAGACAAAGAUGAAACAGAAGGCAUAUCAACCUGCGACUGACAUCCAUCUUUCUUCUCAACCCAAACUCCUCAAAAUUAGCCUGUCUGCGGGUGAAGGAAUACCUGUCUGCCGGAAUAGGCAAUGCUGCUCAACUGUCCAUCAACCCCUGUGUCAUCUGGGACCAGACCAGCCACACCCCCCACUCCACUCUGUGAUGUAGCCUACCAGCCACACCCCCCGCUCCGCUCUGUGAUGUAGCCUACCAGCCACACCCCCCGCUCCGCUCUGUGAUGUAGCCUACCAGCCACACCCCCCGCUCCGCUCUGUGAUGUAGCCUACCAGCCACACCCCCUGCUCCACUCUGUGAUGUAGCCUACCAGCCACACCCCCUGCUCCACUCUGUGAUGUAGCCUACCAGCCACACCCCCUGCUCCACUCUGUGAUGUAGCCUACCAGCCACACCCCCCGCUCCGCUCUGUGAUGUAGCCUACCAGCCACACCCCCUGCUCCACUCUGUGAUGUAGCCUACCAGCCACACCCCCCGCUCCGCUCUGUGAUGUAGCCUACCAGCCACACCCACUCCUUACUCUGUCUACUGUUGCUGGACCAGAACAUUCUCUCUCUCCACCUCUCAACUGGACCUUCAGUGUCCACAGUGCUAUGUUUAUAUCCUGUUAAUGUGCCAGUGUGGUCAUUGUAACAACAAUGAGACAUGAUAGUAAAUGUACAGAUUAAAUCUGACUAAUGUC